rnacentral:rRNA from 1 species
UGGGGAAUAUUGCACAAUGGUGGGAACUCUGAUGCAGCGACGCCGCGUGAACGAAGAAGGCUUUCGAGUCGUAAAGUUCUUUUAUAUGGGAAGAUAAUGACGGUACCAUAAGAAAAAGCCCCGGCUAACUACGUGCCAGCAGCCGCGGUAAUACGUAGGGGGCUAGCGUUGUCCGGAAUCACUGGGCGUAAAGGGUUCGCAGGCGGAAAUGCAAGUCAGGUGUAAAAGGCAGUAGCUUAACUACUGUAAGCAUUUGAAACUGCAUAUCUUGAGAAGAGUAGAGGUAAGUGGAAUUUUUAGUGUAGCGGUGAAAUGCGUAGAUAUUAAAAAGAAUACCGGUGGCGGAGGCGACUUACUGGGCUCAUUCUGACGCUGAGGAACGAAAGCGUGGGUAGCAAACAGG